GAUGAACGCUGGCGGCGUGCCUAAUACAUGCAAGUCGAGCGAACAGACGAGAGUGCUUGCACUCUCUGACGUUAGCGGUGGACGGGUGAGUAACACGUGGGUAACCUACCUAUAAGACUGGGAUAACUUCGGGAAACCGGAGCUAAUACCGGAUAAUAUUUAGCUUCGCAUGAAGCAAUAGUGAAAGACGGUUCUGCUGUCACUUAUAGAUGGACCCGCGGUGUAUUAGCUAGUUGGUGAGGUAACGGCUCACCAAGGCAACGAUACAUAGCCGACCUGAGAGGGUGAUCGGCCACACUGGGACUGAGACACGGCCCAGACUCCUACGGGAGGCAGCAGUAGGGAAUCUUCCGCAAUGGACGAAAGUCUGACGGAGCAAUGCCGCGUGAGUGAAGAAGGUUUUCGGAUCGUAAAACUCUGUUGUAAGGGAAGAACAAGUACGUUAGUAACUGAACGUACCUUGACGGUACCUUACCAGAAAGCCACGGCUAACUACGUG
rnacentral:rRNA from 1 species